rnacentral:rRNA from 1 species
UACAAAGGAAUUGACGGGACCGCACAAGCGGUGGAUGAUGUGGUUUAAUUCGAUGCAACGCGAAAACCUUACCCACCUUUGACAUGGACAGGAAUCCUAAAGAGAUUUGGAGUGCUCGAAAGAGAACCUGCACACAGGUGCUGCAUGGCUGUCGUCAGCUCGUGUCGUGAGAUGUUGGGUUAAGUCCCGCAACGAGCGCAACCCUUGCCAUUAGUUGCUACGAAAGGGCACUCUAAUGGGACUGCCGGUGACAAACCGGAGGAAGGUGGGGAUGACGUCAAGUCCUCAUGGCCCUUAUAGGUGGGGCUACACACGUCAUACAAUGGCCGGUACAGAGGGUAGCCAACCCGCGAGGGGGAGCCAAUCCCACAAAGCCGGUCGUAGUCCGGAUCGCAGUCUGCAACUCGACUGCGUGAAGUCGGAAUCGCUAAUAAUCGCGGAUCAGCAUGUCGCGGUGAAUACGUUCCCGGGCCUU